UCUAUAAUACAAAAUAACUAUCUAUUCUGAUAAUUGGUAAUAUUAUUGUAGUGUCUAGAGCAUAAAUCAGAAUCCUCAGGCUUCCGUGGGGUCGCCUUCAUCAAAACCAGUAAAGUGUAUUAUGCAUUUCAAGUUAGUAAUAUGGAUUUUCAUAUUUCAUGUGAUUACACUGCAUUCUCUCUUACCAUUAGACUCAACAAUGCACUGCACGUUUUUUUUUCUUCAGCCUUAAUGGAAAAUACCUUUACAGCCAGAAAAGCUGCUAUUGUAUGAUAAGCUACAAAUGUAGAGUCGUGUCUAAAAAUCCAUUUAGAAUUAAUAAUACCAGAACCGGUCUUGUUAAUGAAAAAGUGUAAUUUGUCUGAAGAGGCUCAGAUUCCGCUUUGAAAAGCAAGAUGUCACAGAGCUGGUGUAAAUGUAAGCUUUAAUGGACACAUUGACAGCGCUGCGGUAUUGUUCUUGACAGAGGAAAAUGAUGUGAAUAGCUUUGCUUGUCAUUGUUGUGAAACUAUUAAUACAUCUGUAAUUAUGGUGGGCAAAUUGUUGUUGUUUUUUUUGUGGCUCUGUGGUAUUUGAUAUGCUCAGCACAAUGAGGAGAUGAAUUAGGACUAAUAAACAGGUCUCAUGAUUCUGUCUCUAAUUGGAGGAUCAUUAUAUCUCUUCCAGAGAGAUGCCCACAGCUAAAGCCUUUAACAGCACUAUUUCAAACAGGACACAAAGGCCUUAAUGAAUACUCCUGUGACUUUGCACCAUCUCUCACAAAGGGAAGCACAUAUUCUCUUUUUGUCUUAUACAUAGUCUCCUGUAAUUGUUGGAAUGGGGUGUAAAACAGUCCUUCUUCCCUUGGAAAUCGCAAUAAUUACAGAGAUUGUUUUGAGGCCAAAGAGCUAAAAGAGCCUUUGAAAAUGUGUUUGUAACUUAUGAUGGCACUGGCACCAAACGGUACUUACCUUAGAUAAAUACUGGCAUCUGUGUGUAUGUGUGUGUGGGAGGAGGAAAGAAAAACGUGUGAUAUUGCCACGGUGUAGUGUCAAGUGUUUUACAAUGUCCUUACAAGCAUACUUACGCAAUACCAUUACAACACAAUAACGGAAAUACGGAGAGCGAAUGUAAUGCACGGUGAGGGAACAUGUUGAAAUCUCCUGGUGCCAUUUGCUCCCAUCAGUGUCGCUGAUAGAGUCAUUAGAGAGCUGCUGCAGCUCAGCGCCGGGGUCUCUCCGCUGAGAAUGGCCCCGUUGGACGGGGGAACAAGCUCCGCGUGGCUCCCGGGCCUCCGAGCACUCCACUCCAGCGAACAGGUCGCAGCCGCAGAAACGGGCCGGUGUUAACAAUGGAUAAUGGGAGAGUGGAUUGCAGUUAUCCGCCGCGUGAUUUAAAGCUUUUUACAGAGCGUUUUCCUCUGCGACCGCGGCGACAGCGAGGCUCUGGGAGUUUCUCGGGGCGCCACGCGCGACCCCCAUGCUAAUGCAGGAGCCUCCUCUUUAUCUGUUGGGGGCCGACGUGAUCACCCGUGGAACGGCCGGAGAAGCAAAAGUGCUGAAAUCGUCGAAACGGUGUGCCUGGUUGAUGUCCUCCUCCUUUGGUGGGGAACAUAUGUCCACAGCAGCUGUGCCACCGUGAAUAGGCAGUGAUUGUGCGCGAGCUAACUGCAUUCCUGGGAGCCAGGCCAAGUCUGAGUGGAAGGCCAAAAUAGCGGCCCGACUUUGAAGAUCGUUUGUCUCCGACGGAAGAUGCUGAAGAGGUGAUGUGUGACGAGCCGCGCUGCAGACGUGCGACUCCAGCAGAUGCGUCGCCGUGCGCAGCAUCCUCCCGGUGACACAGUUUUCUGCCGGCUCUCGCGCUGUGACUCCGUGACUCCUGCGCUAAUGAUGUAUGGCGGAAGCUUGAGCCAGGCCAGGUUGUCUAGUCAGGCGAAGCUAUUUCUGCGUUGGGCUGAGUGAAAGCGCAAGGCACAAUCGGCUCGAGAAACAUUUUUCAUGAAUAUUUUUAAGCUUUGGUCUUUUUUGGACACGCCGAAAGGCGGCUGAACAACAAGCACAUGACAACAUGCGUUAUCAGCAGCUGAUUUUAGCAGCUGGAUGGAGAAAAAGUUAAAGAAUUUGCAACUCUCGUGAAAAAGGUCUUGAGAUAGAUAGUGCCGUGCGCCUCAGCCUAGUUGAGUUACAAACUGAAACACCUGUAAUUGUUAUCAGAGAGGAAACAAUCUGAGUAAACACUCGGGGGCGACUGAGAAAUGGAAAUGUCACUCCUGCGUGGGCCGAUGUCUGAUCACAAACAAACAAUAGGCAUCCCAAGCAUUCCUCCGUCCUAUCACCGACCUCCAUCCCGCGAGGAACAAGGUCAAUAGAAGCGCUGCAAAUGGGAUGGUGAUCCCAAAAUAACAGCCCCCAGCCCCAGCAGCCCCCCCCCCCCCCACACACACACACACACACGUCCACCUCCACCUCCUUCUCUCUUAAACAACACAAUCACACAAUCAAAGCGCGACUGCCUUUCUCUCAUUGUUUAAUUUCUGCUGGCUAUCUUAGAUAUCUCUGCAGCUGUUCUUAUCUUUGACCUUCAGCUUGUUGCUUUGUCGUUCCACCCCCCCCCAUCCUCCACCCACCUACCUGCCCCCACCCACCCACCCCCCACGCCAGCGUGCUGCGACCUUCAGAGGGGUGUCAUUACUCCCUGACCCAUUUGACGAUCCCCUCAUGUGGAAUGUGCAUAUGCCGAAUCGCUGCGGAUCUGCACAGUAUGGGGUGAGGUGAAGUACUUACAGAAAUAUGACUUGACACGCUUUAUCAAAUGGGGAAAGAUGAAGACGAAACAGCUGCUGGUGCUGUCGUAAGCAAUCUGGCCGUGAUUGAAUAAAAGUGUCAAGAAAAGGGCCGCUUGAUGGUCUUUUGUUCUCCCCCAUCCAGCUUGAUGUUAGUUUGAGCUGUCAGGAGGGAAUCACAGCUGGGUGAUUUAUCAAUACUUGGAGUGACCUUGCAGCCACACUCGGCUGUGUGUGCGCACGCGGGCGCUCAUAUCUGUGUGUGGCUCUCGUAGAUUAAAAAGACACAAAGUGGAAUAUUUUCAAAAUAGUUGGCACACAUAGACAAAGGCUUGGCUGGACUUGGAACGAAAUUCUCCCUUCUCUUAGACACAGUAAGUGGAUUGUUCUGCCAACACGAUAAGAGUAUUUUUCUCAGCAUCACAGCACUCAAAGUACCACCAGCGAAUGUUUGGGAAAAGUGCGCCUCUUUUAACUAACGCUGCUUUUGAACGGCUUUUCUUUAAGGCUCUUUGCUGCUUUUUUGUAACCUGUCCACAGCAUCUCCUCACCUCAGUACGUUUCCCUGAGACGUACGCGCGCAGCCUGUUUUCACGGCGCCCAUUGACUGUCUCUGUUGUGAUUAAGCAGAUGUUUUAUUGCAGACUGGAACAGUCAUUACUGCCAUAAACCCAUCUGUGGAAUUGCUUUUUAUGCAAAUUUACAAAGCAUCUGCAUAAAUAAAGUUCUAAUUAAUACCUUUCUGCAAACCUCGGCGCUCUUUGAUUCCUAAGUGUUCCUAAUUGUGUACAAGCAGGUAGAAAGUACAAAUCAAUGCCCACGACAUGAAAGGGUUUUGUUCCCCGUCUACACCAGUUGUGCUUCAGCCGAAGCCCAACUGUGAACAUAAACAAAUGUUGUUUUGCGAAUAUUUCCCAGCUUUAUAGAUUUUUGAAAGCACAUUGCUCAGCUGUUAUAUAAAGCACCGCUGUAUGUUUCAUAAAUGAUUAGACUUUGACGAACUAACAUGGUUAUUUAUUGGCAAAUCUUUGAUUAAGAAGCAGCUCAAAGCAAUUGGAAUCAAGCAGAACAUUGGUGUAAAGUUGCAGUGCAGCGUUUUUAGCUCUGGUUCCUGGUUACAGGGGAAAUAAAACAGAAUCUGCUGCUACUGGUUGAUUGGGAACUACUGAAGAGUAAAGUUUCCCUGAGAACAUUAAGGCUGCUUUAUAGAUCCCUUUGUUGUGAGGGUGCCAAUGGAAGCUCAUUAAUUUCCCCAGGUUUUUAAUGGGGAGUGUUGAACAUGUGGCAAGUGUUGUCUUGGUGGGACCCUUAUGAGUUGCACCUCUGCUGUUGAAAGGAUGCCAUGCUUUUUAAUUGUAAAGGUGCCCCCUUGGUUAAGUAAUGAAGUGAGUUUUAUUAUUUGGAGAACUGUACAAACCAAUUUAUUUAAGCAGCCUGAUGAUUUACUGCUUUUCUUAAUUCAUUUUUGUCACUUUUAAAAUGCCUUUUUUACGUCACUCAAUCCCUCUCACGGUUUAACUGAGCGCACACUCUUUUAUAACUGUGCGACAACCCAGUAAACAAUCAUUCUCCUGCUUGCAUUUAUCUCUGAGCACGAUCUCUGCAGCCCAGCGAGGCUUUACGGGCUUUGGAGGGAACCUGAACUUCUGUUAACUCUGACAUCAGAAGACAAAAAGACGUUUUAUGGAUGAAGAAAGACUUUUUAAAUGAUUAAAGGAAGCAUCUAAGCCGCGAGUGGGUAGAAGGUGCUGUAGUCAGCGAGGUCAGGGAACAGCAAGAAAGGCUUCAGAAACUAUUUGGGAAUAAAGGCGCUGUAUUCUGCAUGUGAUUCUUAUUUUGUGCUGAUUAAGGGCUGCGCGGCCGCCAAAGCAAACGGUGGCUCGUACGUCAUAAUGCUCCACUGCUGUGAAACCACAGGUCAUCUUAAGUUAAUUCACUAGGUGGCAGUGUCACAUUUUAAACCCAUUAGCACGUCAGUAACAAAGGGGGUCAAGCCAUCACACAGUGAUGAGUGAUUGAGCACUGAAGGGUUAGGCUUCGCUGAUUUGUGUCCAGUUAAAGUGAAAUGAAACCGAAGAAUUCAGAUCAAAAAUGGGAAAUUACUUUUAUGCAUCUUGUGGAAGCAGAAUUUAUAUUAUUUUAAUGUAAUUUCCACCAACUUGGUGAAAAGCCUGUAAUAUGGAAGAAUCUGCUUUAAAAGCAGCACCAACACUUUCCCUCUGGUACAGAUCACCAGCCCAGGUUGUCUUACUGUCUCUCAUCAGGUAGUGAGACCUAGCAACUUUUAGCAUAAUGAAUUUAGCAGGGAUGUCUUCUCCACACAGUCCAUCAGGCCUGCCAUCUAGGAGAUUAAAUUAUGUCUGUAAGCAUUAAAGCUUUGAUGUUGUAUUUGGGCGGCAUGCAUGCAUCCAUUUGCAAAAUUCUAUAUAACAAAAUUAAAAACAUGGACACCUAUGGAAAAUGGCUUGGCACUAGCACUUAAAUCCAACCACUCCAAACAGUCUGCUGACUAAUGCAUUUCUAAUCAUUUCUGUGAUCAAUGUUAGCUACUGUGCAAUAAGAUUAAUCAGCCAUAUGCAAAGCUAGGAUCACCUUGAACAAGACAAGAAGAAAGGAAGAAGCGCAGUUGAAAGGACUGAAAGGAAGCGUCUUAGGUAUUAUGUAUGGUAAGCACAGCAUACAGAAAUAAAGCACACCUGCAUUAUUCACGU